rnacentral:rRNA from 1 species
GAUGAACGCUGGCGGCGUGCCUAAUACAUGCAAGUCGAGCGAACAGACGAGGAGCUAGCUCCUCUGACGUUAGCGGCGGACGGGUGAGUAACACGUGGAUAACCUACCUAUAAGACUGGGAUAACUUCGGGAAACCGGAGCUAAUACCGGAUAACAUGUUGAACCGCAUGGUUUAACAGUGAAAGACGGUCUUGCUGUCACUUAUAGAUGGAUCCGCGCCGCAUUAGCUAGUUGGUAAGGUAACGGCUUACCAAGGCAACGAUGCGUAGCCGACCUGAGAGGGUGAUCGGCCACACUGGAACUGAGACACGGUCCAGACUCCUACGGGAGGCAGCAGUAGGGAAUCUUCCGCAAUGGGCGAAAGCCUGACGGAGCAACGCCGCGUGAGUGAAGAAGGUCUUCGGAUCGUAAAACUCUGUUAUUAGGGAAGAACAAAUGUGUAAGUAACUAUGCACGUCUUGACGGUACCUAAUCAGAAAGCCACGGCUAACUACGUG